AAAAAACAAAAACCACAAAAAUUCUUCAGAAAACACCAAAAUGUACUGUUUCAUUAGACUGUAGGUUUGUUUUGAUACUCUAGUUCAUAAUUUGCAUUUCUGGGUUCCCAUGUUGGCCUGUUGAAGUUUCUGGUUGAUUCACACUGGAUUUCAAACAAAUGUUGGGUUCAUUCAAGUUUAUUUUGGUGGUUUUUUGUUGCUGCUGAGUUUUCAAUUGUGUCUGGGUUACGAUUUAAGUGAAUUUUCUGGGGUUAUCCUCAAGUUUGCUGGAUUUUUGGACUAAUUUUGGACUGGGUUGUUGCUAUGUUAUUGGAAGUUGUUUGCUAUUACAGCUGUUCUUCACUGCUCGAACUGAUUUCUUCUCCAUCUCUUAUUCUCCCUCAGGUACACAUUCGAGCUUGUAUUGAUGUUGGUUCCCUUUCUUGGAAAAAUGAAAUGGAAUUGAAGUUUUGCUUUAGAUCUAUUUUUUGAUUUAUCCUAUUAAUGAAUGAUCUUGUAUAAUUUAGUUAAUUUCCUAAUGCAACUGGAUAUGAACUAGAAAUUGGACUGUAAAUGAGGGACUGCACUGUGAUGGUGUGACAUGUAUUAAUUUGGACGGUUAAUUAGGGUAAUGCUUGUUGAUUAAUUUCAUGAUGACUGAUAAUAAAUGACUGUAUAUUGUGCUGUUAAUUCUAGAUUAAGGAUUAUUAGGUUCACGUGAAGGUUGAUCAGUAUCAUUUUGCAUAAAUGACUGUAGAAUGUGCUGUUAAUUCUAGAUUAAGGAUUAUUAGGUUCACGUGAAGGUUGAUCAGUAUCGUUUUGUUUGGCUUCUAGUUUGUUUGUGUAAAUCUGAUACAAUUCCUAGCAAUGGCAGUCAUAUAAAUAAAACUACUGCUCAAUCUCCUUUUAAAUUUGCCAAAAUAUAGAAUGGAAACGUUAUCAGCAGCUGAUUCACCGUAAAAGCAAUGUAUGUAGUUAAUAUCAUCCGAGGAUGCAAACGCCUCCAGUGAUUGUGCUUCACCAUUUCCAGUUAAGUUGGCGUUUCUGUGCCGGACUUGAACUUGAAAUUCGCAUGCGGAUAAUAGUCAAUUUGGAUCUUCUUUUCUUUUAGAGAAAAAAAAAUAAAAAUAGAAAAUCAUAGUCAUAAUUUAGGAUGGCCUUCAAUAAAAUGACGAGAUGAGCCUCGCCAAAUAAAAACAAUUGUGGGGCCCUCGAUAAAGGUUAAAAGUAUUUAGAAUUUGGGAGGGCCAUUUAGCAAAUUUCAUGGUCUUCCCCAAAAUAAUAAUACGCUAGAAUCUUUAGACGUGCUUAAUUAAAUUACUUUCUUAAUCUCGGGUGUGCAAUGAUGCGACCCAAAUCCAAAUCUCGGCGAAGUUGAAACGUGUCGACGAUCACGUGUACACUGGCGGUGACGUGAUUAGAAAUACAUUUUCGCGAUGUUGCAAGUCUGUUAAAAUAAAUAAUGGUAAAAGUGGUUUAUAAAUAAAAAGCACAUAAGUUAGUAUGUAAUAAAACCAGAUAAAUCAAAUACAACAGUUAAGCGAACGUGCUAGAACCAUGGAACCCGGGAAUGCCUAGCACCUUCUCCCAGGUUAACAGAAUUCCUUAUCCGUAUUUCUGGUUCGCGAACUGUAAGAUAGAGUCAAUCUCUUCCUCGGUUCGGGAUUAAACCGGUGACUUGGGACACCAUAAAUCUCCCAAGUGGCGACUCUGGAUAAUUAAUAACCAAAUCCCGUUAAGAUUGUCAUUUAAUUGGAAAACUCCUUUACUCUCCUUUGCGGGGGUGUAUAGUGAAAAAGGGUGGUGUGACAAUGAGACAAAGAGGUUAUUGCAAGGUAACUGCCAAAACUGCCCAUCAUGUGCAAGACAUGUGCCAUCUUUACUUGGCCAGCUGAAUUUUGCCCAAGGCUUGAUUUGUGCCAACCCUUAGCUUAAUUUGAAAUUGCUUUGUGUCAAUGUCUUGCCCGCAACCUGCUACCAUGAUUUUAUCGCACACGCCCGACGCCGUUUGCCGCUCGUGCACUGCCUUGGCCUAGUUUUUUCCUUUCCCAUGUCAACCUUCAUUUCCUUCAUGUAAUUUCUUGUAUUUUCCUUCACAUAGCCCUGCCUUGGCUAUUGAAAGCCAUUGCCAUCAUCCCACAUUUCUGUCUUCCCUUAACUUAGCCCACAUUAGCUGCUACAACCCAAAAGUGUCAUGCCACUAAUUUUGGUGCACAUGUCAUGCCAUGCCGCCCUAAAAUUGCCCACACAGUUUUGUCAAGCCUUUGCCAAGCGUGCCUUUCCUGUGCCAAGGCCUUGGAUAAUACUUGCCCAAAACUUCCCUCAAUGAAAAUGUCUUGUCUGUCGCCCGCAUGAUCGUUUUGCCCCCAUAUAGGCCAAUGACAACGCCAUCACGCCCAAAUCCUUGCCAUAGCCAUUCCACGCGCCGAUGAAAAAGUGUUAGGGUCUAAAAAAGCACCCACCUCCUUGGAAAUCAACGUUCUCAUCGAGCCAACUCAAUUAAUCAGCCCCAAGGGGUUGUUGACAAACAAUGCCUUUGGUGCUCCAUUCACAUCUACCACUAUAGCAUUUGCCUCCGCCACUUGUUCAUAUUUUUCCGCAGCUAGCAUUGCAUUCACCCUAUCCUGCACCGAAUAGUCCUUCUUCAUGUGCAGUCCACCACAAGUAAUAUCACUUUUGAACUUGCUGUUUCUUUCCUUGCUAUUGUGAAUUUCAUGUCUCAUAUUCUUGGCAAAAUCCUCAUUUUCAGCAGCUUGGCCUUUCCCGCUUUUCUUCCAUUCCUUUGCUUUGUCUUUCUUCCCAUCAGCCUUUGAAUGUGAAGUUUCAACAUAAUCAUCACCUAUGUUUAGGUCCGUCAACGCAUCUACUGUAGCAAUGGCAGUAGAUAGGCUUUGAACAUUUUGCCUUCUCAACUCCAAUUGCGCCCAGCUCUUCAAUCUACUCAUGAAGUAAUGCAUCUUGUCUUCUUCUGCUAUAUUACUUACAUUCAGCAUCAAGGACGAAACUCCUUGACAUACUCCCUUACCGUGCCACUUUGUUUCAAGCGACGCAUUCCAUCUCGCGCCGUCCAUGACGAGUUAUUUAGAAGGAAUCGACAUUUUUAAUUCCUUCUUCAGCAUCUCCCAAGUUUCAAUUUAGGGCAGUCUAGCACUUUCCCCAUCCUCAACUCGUGUACGCCACCACACCUUUGCAUCAUCAGUCAAAUACAUAGGCGUGAUCGCCACAUUUUCAUCAUCUGGCACGAGCAGCUUGGAAAUAUUGCUCCAUAUCCCAUACAAAAUUUUCCAGUUCUUUGGCACUUCUUGCACCGCCAUAUGCCUUUGGCUUUGGAAUCCUCAAUUUCGUGGGUUCAUCGCUUCUAGGGGCAGCAGUUUGCAAUGCCCUUCGAAGUUGAACCACUUCCUCUCGUAGUUCUUCCUUCUCUUUGCAUACCAAGGCCAUUUCUGCCAGCGUUAUCUCAUGCCUCUCCGCAUAAUUUGUCUCCAAACGUACCAUUCUAGCAAGAACAGAAGAAUUGCCUUCUACAUCAAGAGCCUGCCCAACAAGUGUUUCCACCUGCUCAACUCUUUGACGCAGUUCCGCAUUUGUGCCACCAGCCAUAUUCUCAAAUAGCCCAACGAAAUAUGCCACUGAUCAUCUUGCCACUACCACAAACCUGCUCCGCUCUGAUACCAGUUGUCACAGGGGCGUUUAUAGUCAGUCUAACAUCACACUCGUGCGGCAGUCAAGUCACGCACUUGACUCAGUCUUUCCCAAACACUUAACCAAUUUUCAGCAAAUUUGUCUUAAACGUAAUUUAGGUAGCAAAUCAAUAGAACACAAGAAAAUACGGGAAAAAUACCAACCUUUGCACUAAUUUAGAAAAUAUACAAUGGACCCUCACUUUGCUAUGAACACAUUCCCGUUCACGGCCCACUUUUAACAAAGAACACAAGUCAUUCUUGGCCAACACUAAGAGCUGCCCAAGCCAAACCUUAGCCCAUUUUGAAACACUUAGAAACCCUCACGUUUCUAUCUUGUUUCUCAGUUAUAAUUUCACACGAAAUUGCACACCUACAUCUGAUUAAGUACCAAAAGCCCUAUUUAUAGAAUAUAGGCUGCCCUUAGACUUGAUAGUACAUGACACUUGUCAUCUACAGCUUUUGCCACUUGUCGGGAUAAGUUUAAAUAUGUUCCUAACAUGUAGUUGACAUCCCCAACUGCUUAGAAAAUAAUAUACAUGAAAUGAAUAAUGUUACAAGCAUGAUCUGAUUAUGGGACAAAGAGGUUAUUGCAAGGUAACCACCAAAACUGCCCAUCAUGUGCAAGGCAUGUGCCUUCUUCACUUGGCCAGCUGAAUUUCGCCAAAGGCUUGCUUUGUGCCAAGCCUUAGCUCAAUUUGACAUUGUUUUGUGCCAAUGUCUUGCACGCAAUCUGCUACCAUGAUUUUAUCGCACACGCCCGAUGUCGCUUGUUGCCCCCGCACUAUCUUGGCCUAGUUUCUUCCAUGCCCAUGUCAACCUUCAUUUCCCUCGUGUCAUUGCUUGUAUUUUCCUUCACAUACUCCUGCCUUGGCUAUUGAAAGAAAUUGGCAUCAUCUCACAUUCCCACCUUGCCUUAACUUAGCCCGCAUUAGCUGCUACAACCCAAAAGUGCCAUGCUACUGAUUUGGCGUGCAUGUCGUGCCAUGCCGCCCUAACAUUUCCCACACAGCUUUGUCAAGCAUUUGCCAAGCGCGCCUUGCAUGUGCCAAAGCCUUGGCCAAUACUUACUCACAACAGCCCUCAAUGACAACGUCUUGUCCGUAGCCCGCAUGAUCGUUUUGCCCACACAUAGGCCAAUGAGAAGGCCAUCACGCCCAAAUCCUUACCACAUUCGUGCCACGCCCGAUGACAAAGAGUUAGGGUCUAACAGUUAUCCUCCAGAAAUCUAAGGUUUUGAUACUAUGUGAACACCAAGCCUUGACAGCAUACUUACUGAUGUUGUUAUGUUCUGCAAAUGAGAAGGUCAAAUAGCUAUAUUCAUAGUCACCGAGGCCACCAUUUGUUUUUUCUUUAUGGAGAUUGAAGUUGGCACAGAAUAUGCCCCAAAAGACUACCAAGACCCACCCCCUGCACCCUAAUAAAUUGACCUUGAGGAACUAGGAAAAUGGUCAUUUUAUAGAGCAAUAAUAGCUGAAAUCAUAGCCACUUGAAUAUAUAUUUCUAUACAUCACUGUCCUCACUGUGAUUGGAUACAAGAACCACAUUGACACUAACCAUAACGGUGAAGAAUGUGGUGGUGUUGGAAUUCUUGGAAUUGCAUGGGUAUUUCUGGUGGACAUAUAGCCGAACUUGGAAUGUUGCUUGUGGCCUUCCAGACGAGGAUUUUGAGAUUGAUGAGUGGUUUUGUAUAAAUUUAAUAUUUUUCAGGAUGGCGAUAAUGGUGGCAAUGGUGAUGGAGGGAAAAAGAAUUUUAGUAAUGGAAAAAAAAAGGGAGGGGUAAAAUGGGUAGGGGCACUGAAAUGGCAUGUCGCGUAGUGUCCACUUUAUUAAAUGUCUGUGACACGUAUGAUUGUAUGUCCACCUUGAUCAAACUUAACGGAAGAAUGGUAUAUUUGAAUCAAUAACAUAACAAUAGGGAUAUAUUUGAACCCAAAGUAUAACGAUAGGGUAUAUUUAAACUUUCUCUCACAAUACAGAGCUAUAUUUGGACAUUUUCAGUAUUGUAUAUGAUAUAUAAACAUCAUUUAUCUUAACGCAAUCAACAUCAUUUGAGUUGUGUCACACAUACUCUAGUAAUUUUAAAGUAAUAGUACUUAACUUUUAGCCCGCGGUUACGGAAUGCCUGGGCAGAAAUAGGCUAGAUUGAGGGUUAUAUUUUAUUUAUCAUAUUUUGAGUUAGAAAGCUCAGUUUUGGCAAUUUUGGAGGGGAUUUUUACGAUUUGGAUCGGGAUAAAUGUUUUUCAUUCAAAAUUUUCCAUUAUACAUGAUUGCAUCUUUGUUUUUAUAAUUUAAUUAGUGAUUUGAAUUGGAGAAAUUGAGGAUUUUAGCAAAAACUUUAUUAAAGUAUAAAAUGAGGAUUUGAAGGCCGAUUUAAAGUGAGAAUCAAAUGAUUUUGGUAUGGUUGGACUCGUAUCGGAAUAGGCGUUCAACAUUUGUGGGUUUGUUCUAGUUUCGAGUUGCGGGAUCUGGGUUGACUUUGUGACUUUCAUUAAAUAUCGAAUCUUUAUUAUCCGAAAUUUCUUCCUAUGGUUUUUAUUUAUGAUAUUAAGUUAUUCUGGCUAUAUUUGAUCCCUUCAGAGUUGGAUUUGCACGGGAAAAGCUUAUUAAUGAAUUGACUUAGCUUGUUUGAGAAAAUUAUCUUGUCAACUUUGUGUGGGGGAAACUACCCCUUAGGAUUUAGGUUGUUUGUACUAUUUGGCUUAUGCGAAAGACGUGUAGAGGUGACGAGCUUAUACACAAACUUAUAUAUUGUAUUUGAUCAAUUUAGAUUCAUAGGUUACUUAAAAACACUUAAUUGAAGUUAUUAUUUCUCUAUCUUUCGUUGUUUAUUUUAUGCUCACAUGCUUUAAUUAAAGUCAUUACUUGCUCUAGUUUCUAUCGUCAAAGUUAUUGUUAUGUGCAUUUACUGGUAGUAGUUGUUACAUGCCAUUUCUUCUAUUAUUGAGUUACUCUUAUGUACUUAGACCCAGUCAUUAUUUUAUAAUAUCUCUUUCAUUGUUAAGCUUAUGUCAUGUACUUGAAUUGGAAGUUGUUUCAUGAUUAUUUUCUUGUUGAGUUGUUUCUCAUCUCUUUCGUUGCUAUUGAGAUUCUUGUACAUUUUGUGAUUGAUCCUCGUGCUAUACGUAUUGUGGUGACGUGUUUAUUUUAGAGAUAUUGAGGCAUAUCGGCAGGUGUGGUGCGAGUUAAUUAUUGUGUUGUGAUAUUGAUGCGCAUGCGAAGGUAUAAGGAUAGGGAUUGAUGUGCAUGCAAUGAGAAAAGGUGAGAUCUAUACGCGUGUUACUAGUAAGGGAAUUGCUUGAAGCUGCCCGAUUAGAUAAGGGAGCUAGAGCGCGUGUAGCUAUUUCGAAAUAAAUAUUUUCAAAUUAAAUGCAAGACUCACACGGAGAUAUAACAAAGAUUAUGAUUAUGACUUGUGAAGUGUAAAUAUGAGGCGUGGUACCUCGGUAUGAUUCUUGUUUUACAUUUUAUGUUGGAAAGGCUUGAUGAUUUGAACAAUUGUUGUUCUUAUUCCCUUAUUCCUUCCCAUUAGUGUUUUGAUUGUAACUGGUUACUUGUUGUGUUAUCACAUGUACUCUUUGUUUGCUUUAUUUUCGUUGUUAGACCUGUAUUGAUAAAUUGCUUUAUUAUACUUUAAUUACUUUUCUCUUCCGUUAUUAGAUAAUAUUAUUAUUAUUUUAAGUUUUUUUUGUUUAAUAGGUGUUUUGACCUGGUCUCGUCACUAUCAUAUCGAGAUUAGACUUGAUACUUAUCGGGUAUUAUUGUGGUAUACUCAUGCUACUCUUCUGCAUAUUUUUGUGCAGAUCCAGAUAUGUUCGCUCGUG
rnacentral:lncRNA from 1 species